rnacentral:tRNA from 1 species
UAAGAAUUAGUUAAAUAACAUAACAUAAAAUUGUCAAUUUUAAAUUAUUAUUAAUAUAAUAUUCUUUU